rnacentral:lncRNA from 1 species
AGGAGGACGGGGAGGAAGCUGGGAGGAGUUCUAUUAGAGUUUUUCUCAGUUUUUGCUUACCCCCGAUACAAGGACACACACUGCCAUUUAUACCACACACACCUUACACCCACUCUGGACCAUGGACCCGAGUAUUGGCACGACGUUGGCGACGUGGACGAGUUGGACGCUGGGCUUCCUCUUGUGCAGGUUGAGUCGGCACAUCUGGCAUGGGAGCAGGGCUCACAUUCCCCAUCCCUUGAAGUCCUGCUUGACCCCAAGCAGGUGCACCAGGAUAACACUGCUGGAGCGCUUCCUUGUCUUCCCAGGUAGCUAAAUCGCGAGGCAGACCGGCCCAUUCCACCAGUACCUGUUGGACGAGGCGAGUUCCCUUGGUGAUGCCCCGAGUUUGCAGGAUGUUGACAGGGUAACUGAAUUCUGGUAGCAACGAAGGCAAGGAAGUAGAAGCAGUGCCCUUGAACCCUUUAGCUAGCUUCAGCUGAGAAACAUGCACAACAGGGUGAAUACGACUGGAAACAGGUAAGUCCAGACGAUAAGCUACCUUGCCAACUCGGGCCAACACACGGUAGGGACCAAAAUAUUUAAAACUGAGCUUGUGAUGGGCACGGGGCAGCACAGAAGAUUGCACAUAUGGUUGGAGUUUCAUGUAGACCCAGUCAUCAAUAGCAAAGGAGCGUUCAGACCUGUGUUUGUCCGCUUGGCGCUGCAUGCGAGCCUGAGCACGCAGGAGGUGUUGAUGGAUGAGUUCCUGCAUGUGGGAGCGCUCCUGGAGCCAGUCCGAAACAGACGCUGGGAUGGCACUGUCUGAAGAAAUGCCCAAGGACCUUGGUUGACGGCCAUAGAGAACCUCAAAAGGUGAACAGCCUAAGGAAGAGUGGAGGCUUGUAUUGUACCAAUAUUCAGCCGCUGGUAGCCAAUCAAUCCAUUUCUUUGGGCAAGCGUUGACAAAACAACGAAGAAAUGUCUCUAAGCAUUGGUUUACCCGUUCAGUUUGCCCGUCGGUUUGUGGGUGAUACGAAGAACUCAAUUUCAGCUCAGCACCAACAGACUUGAAUAGGUGUUGCCAAAAUGUGCUUGUAAACACCGGGUCCCGAUCUGAAAUGAUUGCCACUGGAAGCCCAUGGAGUCUGUAGACAUGAUUCAUAAACAGCUUGGCAACUGAACUGGCAGUGUAAGGGUGUGAAAGUGGAAUGAAGUGACCAAACUUUGUAAACUUGUCCACGACCACUAAAAUACAGUCGGAGGAUCCAGACCGAGGAAGGCCUUCAACAAAGUCCAUUGACACGGUGUGCCACGCAGAAGACGGUACUGGUAGGGGCUGCAACUUGCCGGGGUAAGCAGCUCUGUCGGGCUUAGCCUGCAAGCAGAUUUGACAUUGUUGCACAAAGUUCUUGACGAAGGACUUCAUAUUGGUCCAUGCGAAUAAUCCCUUGACACGGCUGUAAGUUACUGGAACCCCGGAGUGACCCCCUACCGCUGAAGAAUGCAAUGCUGACACAAUGCGGGACUGAAUGGUUGUGUCGUCUCCCACCCAAAUACGACCUUUGUAUCUGAGGAUGCCUUCGGUUAGAGUAAAAUUGGAAACAACGGAUGGAUCGAUGGCAAGCUUAGCCAACAUAGAUUGAGCUGUUGGGUCGUGGCUGUAGCUGUUUUGGAUGUUCAACAACCAUUGUGGUACCACUACUGAGACAGCAUGGACUUCAGCUGGAGCACAACGGGACAAGGCGUCGGCCACACGGUUCUCUGAGCCUGGGCGAUACUGAAUCCUGUAUUGCAAUCCAAGUAAUUUGGUAAAAACUUUGUGCUGCCAUGGAGUGUGAAGCCUUUGUUCAUUGAGCUGUCCCAAACUUUUAUGGUCCGUAAGGAUAACAAAUUCGGUGUGUUGAAGGUAAGCCCGCCAUUGUUGGACUGCAAGUAUUAUGGCCAUGUACUCCUUCUCAUAAGUGGAAAGGCCGCGGGAUUUGACGCCCAAUGCUCGACUGAGAAAGGCAAUUGGGUGACCUUUUUGCAUCAGGACUGCGCCUACACCCAAGUCACUGGCAUCGGUCUCAAUAAGAAAAGGAGACAUGAAGUCUGGCAAACAUAAUACAGGAGCUGAAGUGAGUGCGUUUUUCAAUGUCUGAAAUGCCGUGUCAUGUUCACUGGUCCACACAAAAAUGGCAUGUUUCUUUAACAGGGCUGUUAGUGGUUGACAAAUAAUCCCAAAAUGGCGGAUGAACUUUCUAUAGUAACCAGCCAACCCGAGGAAGCUGCGUAAUUCUUUGAGAGAUGAAGGAACUGGCCACUGAGCUAUUGCCUGAAUUUUUGUUGGGUCGGUCGCAACGCCUUGGGAACUGACCACAUGCCCCAAAUAUGUGACCUGAUUUGUAGCAAAUGAACAUUUAGGUCCCGUUUGUUUCAUUUCAUUUUGAGGAAUUGGAAUCUUACUAAUGGAAUAGGCUAUUUUUUUAGAAUGUGACAUUCCACCAUUUUCCAAAGUUAUCAUAUAAGUCUAUCUCAAAUUCAUGGGGUGAGAGAUGGAAAUUGAUUCUAUAGAUUUACAUGCUAUGUUUCCGAUGUAUAAUUUAUAGCAUACUCUUUUACUUGCUUUGCUAUAACAUAAAUGUAGUAUAUAACUAUCUCUCUCAAAUGAUUUAGAAUAAUAUGCAAAUAUAUUACAUAUAUAAAUAUAUGAACUUAAUUAGUUUUGUCUAAAUUAUAAUUAUUAAAAUGGAAUUCAAUUCCAACGAAACAAACGGGGCCUUAGACAACUUUAUCUUCCAGUUGUCAUGGGCCAGCAGGUCCAGCACUUGACGUAAGUGACACACAUGGGACUCCAAGGAGGUGUUGUAGACCAGAAUGUCGUCAAAAAACACAAUAGCACAUUUGCGUAGUAAGGGAGACUGUAUGAUUCAUUGCUCGUUGGAAUGUUCCGGGAGCUCCAGUGAGGCCAAAGGCCAUAACCCUGAACUCGUAGUGGCCAACAUGUGUCUGGAACGCAGUCUUAUAUUCUUCACCCUCCUUCAACAGGAUUUGAUGGAAACCAGCACGAAGGUCCAGAAUAGAGAACCAAGAAGCACCAUAUAACUCAUCCAAUAGUUCAUCAAUGACUGGAACUGAGUAUUUGGAUUUAAGGGUGAGAGCAUUAAGAUGCCGGUAAUCCACGCAAAACCGCCAGGACUGGUCUUUCUUUUUAACUAACAGCACGGGGGAGGAAAAAGCACUGCUGCUAUGUUGUAUAACACCAUUGCUUAGCAUUUCUUGGACUCGAGACUCGAUCUCAUCCUUCAUGGCUGGAGAGAAUCGAUAGGGGCGGAUUGACACUAGCCUUGCUCCCUCCACUAGUGGGAUCGAGUGAUCACAGAAACGGCUGGGUGGUAGGGAGGUAGGGGGUUGGAAUAGCUCUGAUACCAAUUGUUAGAAGAGGGAGGAGACGGAAGGAAGAUAGGAACAGCAGGAGGACGGGGAGGAAGCUGGGAGGAGUUCUAUUAGAGUUUUUCUCAGUUUUUGCUUACCCCCGAUACAAGGACACACACUGCCAUUUAUACCACACACACCUUACACCCACUCUGGACCGUGGACCCGAGUAUUGGCACGGCGUUGGCGACGUAGACGAGUUGGACGCUGGGCUUCCUCUUGUGCAGGUUGAGUCGGCACAUCUGGCAUGGGAGCAGGGCUCACAAUAUGGUAAGCCUAGGACACCACACCAUCGCUCCACCCUCUUGUAUCCAGCAACGGCGGCGGUGGCGUUAGCGGUGUGACAGUGAGGCAGGUGACAUGGAGGAACAUGGCGGAAGCCCUCGAGAGAAGCUGCGGGGACGCGUGCGGGAGGCCGCAUCCGUGGGGUGGACCUGGAGAUGAGCGGCGUCACGAGCGCGCGCCCUGGAGAGACGCCUUCGAGCUCGACCGCGCUGAUGUACGCUGCCUCAAACUCCGCGACCCCGCCGAGCGGUUCGCCG